rnacentral:tRNA from 1 species
GUUAAAAUAGCAAAGAAGUUAAUGCAGAAGAUCUAAGCUCUUCUAUCAAAGGUUCAAAUCCUUUUUUUAACU